rnacentral:lncRNA from 1 species
UUCCAGUGAGCCCUUUCAUGGCAUUUACUCCGCUUCUUGGAUGCUUGUUGCACCAGCAUCUCUUUCUCCGAUCCAGAGAGAGUGACGAGAGAUCGAAGGCUCAGCUCCAUCGCCACCGCACAGCUAUCUAGCUCCAUGGUCAAAAAGGUUCAGGAGCGGACGAAACGGUUGGAAGAGCCAUUGAUGAUUACUGACGCCAUGCAAAGCCAUCAAAUUUAAGCGCUCUCGAUCAAUGGUCGGCACCUGAAAUCAUCCAAGUAUUGAUUGCGGCAGUGAGGGCGUUGGAUGUUGGAUGUGCAAUGAGAUGUG